GGAUUUGGUAUCCAAGUCGAGCCACAGUUGUCUCCAGGCUGAGGUGUGUAGGGGGUUAUCUAUUCUGUUCUGCUGUGGCCCAGCCAGGACAGCACUGGAAGCGUCUGGUGUGCAUCCAAUAAUGCAAUGGCUGGAAGACAAGAAAGCGGUGGAGUAGCUGGGCGGGUGCACUGGAUAUUAUCAAUAACUUUGAUGCUGUGGAGUUACCAGAUCAGUGGACAAGGACAAGUCUUCCAAGGGACAAAAAGUAGUGAAAGCAGUACUGAAGUUGAGAAUUCAGGUGUUUAGAGUGACAUUUCUCAGGAACCAUGUAUGUCCCCGUGAUGAGAAUGUCAAGAAUGUCGCUUUGCCUGUGGCCUUGGAAAUAUUUCAGUGACCAAACCAUGGGGAUGCUGGGGCUGACUGCCAGCAGACUGUACAGUGUGAGGACUGAGAACUCCAGACUGACAUCUGGAGGACUGAGUAAGUCUUUGGGUGAGGAUGGCAACAAAAUCAGGAAU